rnacentral:rRNA from 1 species
AGUGAACGCUGGCGGUAGGCCUAACACAUGCAAGUCGAACGGCAGCACAGGAGAGCUUGCUCUCUGGGUGGCGAGUGGCGGACGGGUGAGGAAUACAUCGGAAUCUACUCUGUCGUGGGGGAUAACGUAGGGAAACUUACGCUAAUACCGCAUACGACCUACGGGCGAAAGCAGGGGAUCUUCUGACCUUGCGCGAUUGAAUGAGCCGAUGUCGGAUUAGCUAGUUGGCGGGGUAAAGGCCCACCAAGGCGACGGUCCGUAGCUGGUCUGAGAGGAUGAUCAGCCACACUGGAACUGAGACACGGUCCAGACUCCUACGGGAGGCAGCAGUGGGGAAUAUUGGACAAUGGGCGCAAGCCUGAUCCAGCCAUACCGCGUGGGUGAAGAAGGCCUUCGGGUUGUAAAGCCCUUUUGUUGGGAAAGAAAUCCAGCUGGCUAAUACCCGGUUGGGAUGACGGUACCCAAAGAAUAAGCACCGGCUAACUUCGUGCCAGCCGCCGCCGUAA